rnacentral:rRNA from 1 species
UACGUAGGGUGCAGGCGUUGUCCGGAAUUAUUGGGCGUAAAGAGCUCGUAGGCGGUUUGUCGCGUCGGCUGUGAAAACUCGGGGCUCAACCCCGAGCCUGCAGUCGAUACGGGCAGACUAGAGUGCUGUAGGGGAGACUGGAAUUCCUGGUGUAGCGGUGAAAUGCGCAGAUAUCAGGAGGAACACCGGUGGCGAAGGCGGGUCUCUGGGCAGUAACUGACGCUGAGGAGCGAAAGCGUGGGGAGCGAACAGG